GGCAAACGGGUGCGUAACACAUUGGUAACCUACCCCGAAGUUCGGUACAACUCCGCGAAAGCGGAGCUAAUUCCGGAUGUGACCCUUCACCAUCAGGUGGAGGGGGAAAGAUUUAUCGCUUCGGGAGGGGCCUAUGGUCCAUCAGCUAGUUGGUGAGGUAACGGCUCACCAAGGCGACGACGGAUAGCGGGCGUGAGAGCGCGACCCGCCUCACUGGGACUGAGACACUGCCCAGACUCCUACGGGAGGCUGCAGUCAAGAAUCUUCCCCAAUGGCCGAAAGGCUGAGGGAGCGACGCCGCGUGUAGGAAGACGCCCUUCGGGGUGUAAACUACUUUUCUCUGGGAAAAACCUUGAUGGUACCAGAGGAAUAAGGGGCUGCUAACUUCGUGCCAGCAGCAGCGGUAAUACGAAGGCCCCGAGCGUUAUCCGGAUUUAUUGGGCGUAAAGAGCUCAACGGCUGCCCGGUCCGUCCCUGGUUAAAUCUUACGGCUCAACCGUGAGACCGCUGGGGAAACCGCCAGGCUUGAGGUCGGGAGAGGCGCGUGGAACUGCCGGUGUAGUAGUAAAAUGCGUUCAUAUCGGCAGGAACACCAAAGGCGAAGGCAGCGCGCUAGAACGUACCUGACGCUCUACGAGCGAAAGCGUGGGUAGCGAAUGGGAUUAGAUACCCCAGUAGUCCACGCCGUAACGAUGGAUGCUAGACAUUGGGGAGUUUCGACCCCUCUCAGUGUGUGAAGCUAACGCGUUAAGCAUCCCGCCUGGGAAGUACCGCCGCAAGGC
rnacentral:rRNA from 1 species